rnacentral:rRNA from 1 species
UAGGGAAUCUUCCGCAAUGGGCGAAAGCCUGACGGAGCAACGCCGCGUGAUUGAUGAAGGCCUUCGGAUCGUAAAACUCUGUUAUUAGGGAAGAACAAAUGUGUAAGUAACUAUGCACGUCUUGACGGUACCUAAUCAGAAAGCCACGGCUAACUACGUGCCAGCAGCCGCGGUAAUACGUAGGUGGCAAGCGUUAUCCGGAAUUAUUGGGCGUAAAGCGCGCGUAGGCGGUUUUUUAAGUCUGAUGUGAAAGCCCACGGCUCAACCGUGGAGGGUCAUUGGAAACUGGGAAACUUGAGUGCAGAAGAUGAAAGGUGAAUUCCAAGUGAAGCGGGGAAAUGCGCAGGGAUAUGGAGGAAAACCAGUGACGAAGGCGACUUUCUAAUCUGUAACUAACGCUGAUGUGCGAAAGCGUGGGGAUCAAACAGG